UGCCAGACUCCUACGGGAGGCAGCAGUGAGGAAUAUUGGUCAAUGGUCGGGAGACUGAACCAGCCAAGUCGCGUGAGGGAUGACAGCCCUACGGGUUGUAAACCUCUUUUGCCGGGGAGCAAAGAGCGGGACGCGUCCCGCCUCGAGAGUACCCGGAGAAAAAGCAUCGGCUAACUCCGUGCCAGCAGCCGCGGUAAUACGGAGGAUGCGAGCGUUAUCCGGAUUUAUUGGGUUUAAAGGGUGCGUAGGCGGACUGUUAAGUCAGCGGUAAAAUUUCGGGGCUCAACCCCGUCGUGCCGUUGAAACUGGCGUUCUUGAGUGAGCGAGAAGUAUGCGGAAUGCGUGGUGUAGCGGUGAAAUGCAUAGAUAUCACGCAGAACUCCGAUUGCGAAGGCAGCAUACCGGCGCUCAACUGACGCUCAUGCACGAAAGCGUGGGUAUCGAACAGGAUUAGAUACCCUUGUA
rnacentral:rRNA from 1 species